UAUAAGUACAUAUGUACAUACCAAGGCGAAUUCACAUAAGGUGGUAGCGGUAGUACAAAAACAAAAACUUACAUGUAUUCUGUUUUUGGUUUCGGUACACAAAUGUCAAAAUUCAGCUAUUAUUCG